ACAUUGAGCAAAGCGCUUCGACUGAUAAUCAAAUGAAAUGAUUUAAAAGUGGUACGACAAUAGUAUUUUGACGAAUGUGUUUAUUGUUUGCAGUUGCAACUUGUUAUUACGAUUAAGGUGUUUAUUUUCUUUGCUACAGUUACGAUCUUAAUGCUGAAAUGUACUUCAGUUAAAAUGUUUCGACUUGUGUUUUGACUAAAAUGUUCGGACUAAUUUGUUUGACUACUUGAGUUUAAAUCACUCGUGUUUUGAUUAAAGUGGUCGGACUAAUAAUUUGUUGCCUUAUUAAGUACUAUAACAUGUUAUGAAAGUGGACUUGGAAGUGACUAGCGUUACAUUUCUUCCAAAGGGUGUUUAUCAUAUUUCUAAGCCUUCCACUAAGUUUCGUUUAGUAGGAAAAUAAUGUUUUCCCCUAAAUGAAUAUUGAUUUUGUGUUUACCAAGUGGUACGAUUAGGUAUUCAAAUGUUACGAGUAAAAAGAAUAAGUGCCUGAGUUAAAAAAAUUUUAAAUGUGUCGCCCCUAAAUGGAUAUUGACUAAGUGUUUACUAAGUGGUUCGACUAAUUGUUAACUAAAGUGAAUUUGUUCAAUUGAUUUAGUGUAAAUUGUAAAGUGCGUUUUUAGACGCAAGGUAAUGACUAAUUGUUACUAAAGUGAUUUGGUUGAAUAUAUAUAGUGUUUUACCAAGUAUGUUUUUCUUAGGCGUGAGUUCUUUAUGACUAAGUGUUUUUUUUUUUUGGCGUGUGACUAAGUGUUUUUAGGCGUGUGACUAUGACUAAGUGCUUCGGUUUAUUUUUGACAAAGAGUUAAAGUUGUGCCUAAGAAGAGUGUUUUUUAUUUAUUUGGCCUUUUUGAUGAUACGUGUUUCGACAAAAUAUUUUAAAUUUUUAACUAACAUGCUUAGAGUGUGGGUUUUAUAUACACUAACAUGUUCAAAUAAGUGUUUAAAAGUGUCAAGUUUUUCGACUAAAAAGAGAUUCCUUUCGACUAAAAAGAGAUUCAAAACUAUUGUUGAUACUAGUGGUUCCUAGGAAAGCAUUGAAAAAUUUACCUCAAUUGCUGAUCAUGUUUUGGA